UACGGGGGGGGCAAGCGUUGUUCGGAAUUACUGGGCGUAAAGGGCGCGUAGGCGGCCAUCUAAGUCAGACGUGAAAUCCCUCGGCUCAACCGAGGAACUGCGUCUGAUACUGGAAGGCUUGAAUCCGGGAGAGGGAUGUGGAAUUCCAGGUGUAGCGGUGAAAUGCGUAGAUAUCAGGAAGAACACCCGUGGCGAAGGCGGCUCUCUGGAACGCAACUGACGCUGAGACGCGAAAGCGUGGGGAGCAAACAGG
rnacentral:rRNA from 1 species